CUCAGUGGCACCGCGACGUCAGUGCGUCCCCACGACGAACGGUCACUGUGUCUCAUCGCGCUUUUACGUCUAUUCAUUUACGCACGCUAGAAACUUUGCUGUACUCUCAAAUAAGAUCCGCACGACGCACAAAUGGAAACCUUUUACACUGCAAGACUGCAUGGGUUUCCCAACCUGAGUAGAUCGGUAAUGGAACCAACAUUGAGUGAAGAAAGCGUACUUUCCCUCUUAAUUGUUUUGGGAAGUAGUAUUUCACUUGUGGGACUUGUAUUUGCUUUCAUCACGUACAGAAACUAAGCAUCGAAGUCAGGGUACAGCUGUAGAUGUUGAUCGUCCGAACAACGAUGACCUACUGUUCAUCAGUGUGGGGUUACGCCGCAACAUCACAAGAGUGCAGAUCGUCCAAAACAAGUCCUGAGGAUGGCUGUAAACGCCCCGUGGUUCGGGCGGAACGCGGACAUCCUUCCAGAUGUGGACAUGCUCACCAUCAAGGAAUUCAUCACCACGGCAGCGGUGAAGACCAUCGGUAGCCUGGGAGACCAC